CAUGUAUCGGACCUACUCCCAAAUCAGCUCUAAUUUGAUCAUUCCUUAUUUUACCCUUCCUAGUUUUGCCACACAUCCAUCUCAACAUCCUUAUUUCAGCUACACUAAAUUUAUCUAUAUGACGUUUCUAAACUACCCAACAUUUUGCACCAUACAGCAUAGUCGGUUAAAUCACUGUCCUAU